UUUACAAUGAAUGGUUCAUUCCCUAUCCAAGAAUUAAAGAAUUUGAAGAAUUUAACAUUAUUGGAUAUAAGUGUUAACCGUUUCAAUGGCACCCUAUCAUUUAAAGAAUUGAAGAACUUGAAGAAUUUAACAUUCUUGGAUAUAAGUGAUAAUCGUUUCAACGGCAUCCUAUCAUUUAAAGGUAAACUUUAAAUCCCUUAUCUUUAUAUUUAUAAAUUGAUUUUUUUUUUAAAAAAAAAUAAAUUUCUCAAAUGUUUUUAUAUAUGAUUUUACAAAACUAUGUAUAAAC